CUUUUUUUCCGCUGCUGAUCAAUCUCAUGCUGAAUAUGUUUCAUCAAAUCUUCUUUGCAUACUUUUGUUUUGCUGUGUUCCAUAACUUUACCACUUAUUCUUGACAGCAUUUCUUUGUCUUGUAGAUGUGUCUUUUAACGUAAGCAUUAUAAUAUUCUUGAAAACUCUUGUUUAAUCAUUAAAAUAGUAACAAAAAAGUUGUUAAAUAAAAUAUUGGCGGGCAUCAACAAAGCAGGUUAUAGGACCUGUACUUGCGUCGCGGUUACUCGGGUCUUUACGCUACGACAUUCAUCGAGUCGCGCGUAUCGAUACGGCUGGUCGAAAGCACAUAAACAAUCGGGGAGCUAUUGUGCUACUCUGCGGAGUUCGGGGUAGUACGACAAACACCAUUGUGUAAAAUUUCGCAUAUAUUUUUAUUCUAGAAAAAUUUCUUACUUCAAUUUAACUUUACUUUCACACAAUUUUACAUGGUUCUCUAUUUGUUGAAACCCCCCUCUCCCCAAGUGAGAUCUGGAAAGAUUUAACUUGACCGCCUCCUCCUUUGAACACCUCAUGUAACUUAUGGACGCCACCAAAGACCGUGGCAAAUAUUAUUUUCCGACUUUUUUGAUUACCAGUCCAAAAGCUAUUUGUUAAUUGUUGACAGCUACUCUCAUUGGUUGAAAGUUUUUCCAACCCAAAAUAAAACAGCUUUUACUAUGAUCAAGCAUUGUAAGGUUUUGUUUUCUAAAUUUGGUGUUCCUGAUAUCUUCUAUGCUGAUAAUGUUCCCUAUAACAGUAUAGAAUUUAGAAAUUUUACUAAAUCAUGGAAUUUUUAUUUGGAGUUUUCUAUCCUUUUUUAUCACCAGUCAAAUAGUUUUGCAGAGAAGUAUGAAUGAAUAUCUCUAAAAACAUGCUUAAAAAAAUUUAUAAUGUUUUCGAUGCAUCGAUUUAUAUCGAAUAUCCCUAGUCCUGUCGAGAGAUAUAAAAAAGAAGAAGAUAGCACAGUGAAAAAAAAUAUGUUAGCAUUAAAACCUGAUAAUGAAAGUGCUAAUAAAUAAAACUACUAGUAAAUAAAUAUAGUUUUAAUAAAACAUAUAAAAAAAAAAGAAAUUGAACAAUAAACAACGAAACAACAUGAAACAGUUGAUUGACUUGUAUGCAGAAUACAGGAAUGAAGUUUGUACUUUCAAAGUAAAAAUGGUUAAAAUUAUGAAGCUGAAGAAAGCCACAGAGUUUAAAAAUAUUAGCAUCCAAAUAACACCAACAUUAUGAAUUAGUGAAAGGUAGUAGGAAGAAGCUUCAGAACAUAUGCGGAUAACCAGAAUAAAACAGGGAAUUGUUGCAAGAACCCAAAAAAACCAUAUAAAUUGAUGAGUCCUGUUUAUUCACAAACGAUAUACAAUUGAGGACGCAUCACUAGGUGUUUGUGGGAAUUUGUCAAGAGGAUGGGAAAUGUUUUUGUUUGCCGUGCCUUUCAGGAGAAAAAAAGUGUGGCUUUAUAUUAUUGGCCAGUACUUAGAACCCGGAACUACUAUUAUGUCUGAUGUCUGGAAUUCCAAUACCAAAACUACAAAAGUAGAAGAUGAAUUUUAUACACUUCACUAUUAAUAAGGAAACUGGAGCACAUACAUAAAGAGCAAAGAUAAGGUACAAGUACGAAUUAGUAAAAUAUCGGAAUAUGCUAGAUUCGUAUUUGUGUGAAUUUUUGUGGCGAAAAGCUGAUUUUUUCUAUAAUUUAACACUAUAUUUUGGAUUUAUUUAAAUCACAAAAGUCUCAUUUUUGUAGGCGCAGAAAUAUUGAUACAUAUAAAAAGUCAUCUUUUCCAAAAAAACAUAUGUGUGAAAAUGUUUUUCUGUUGAAUUAUUAAAUGUAAUGUAUAAUUUUUUUAUUUUGAGGGAAGAAAGAGAACAGGAAAAGGCCUCUAACUUCAACUGAAUGCAGUGAAUGCAGCAGUGGAAAUUAAAUUAUUACUAAAGAAAAAAAUUUUCUUGCUUUAUCACAAUACCCAGUUGAAGUAGUAACUUGAAACUGAUUUGCCAACUAAGAUGUUAAAAUGCAAAUAGUAGAAAACAAGAUUAAUCGCAAUGAGUAUUUGCUCUUUGGAUGGAUCGAUAUGACUUGAUAAUCUUACUAAUCUCCUUUUAUUCAAUAUGUAGUAAGAAAGCUGCAAAUAAUUAUUUGUAUAGCUUCAGUACAAAUGGUAUUAUUUUGGUGUGAGCGACCCUUAACAUAUAGAGAUAUGAAAAAUAGAUGUUGGCCGAUUCUUGGACUUACACUAUAUUCACAUAAAAAAUCACGAAAAUCGAUCCAGUUAAUUUGGAGGAGUUUGGCAACAAAUACGACUACACGAGAAUUUUAUGUAUUAGAUUAUACAAUCUUUAUGAAUAUACCUUUAUUGGAUUCGAUGUCAUACUUUUAGAUACAUGGGUGAAUAUAUAUUGAGAAGUGCGCUCUGAGGUCGAGAGUUGGUUUCCUUCGAUUAAUUUCCUUCCAGACUCCAAAAUACAAGAACAAUGAAAAUGAAUUGACCGGCUGACUUAAGAAAUGGUUAAAAUGGACUGGAGAAGUCAUUAAAACGAUAGAUAGGAGCAAAAAAUGGAUUCACUAUGUAAAAAUCAAGUUCACUUCCUCCAAGACCUCCAUAUCACAAGGAAACCGAAAAAGAAUUGACCGGUUGGCUUAAGAAAUGGUUAAAAUGGAUUAGAGAAGUCCUUAUCACGAUAGAUGAGAGCAAAAAAUGGAUUCACUAUGUAAAUUUGUACCGUUUGAAGGUGUUUUGGAGAUUAGAUUAUUAUUUUUUACUUUUGUUGGGAUUCCGCGUUUUCAGGCAUUCCAGAAUAGACUAUUGGAACAAUAAUAAUUUUUUUUUAAAUGUUUGAUAAAUUUUUAAACCGCCAAACUCUCCCAGGCAAGCAGCGGGUUGGCCAUCCCUAGCCAAAGAACACCUCUGAGAUGAAGAGGAGGCGCUCCAUUAUGUUAGAAACAAAGAAAUCUAAACAAAAUGAGUAUUUACAUAUUGUAGUCUAUGAGUUCUUAGCCUAACAUAGAAAAGAAUAAUUUAAUAAAAUAAAACCAAUAUUAUAUCAUUAUAAAACCAGUAUAAACAAAGUGACUCAUUUUAUUUUCUCAGCAUGUUGAUACUAACGCAACGGUUGUAAUAAAAACAUUUUCCUACUUUCCUCACAUCGAUGGUCAAUAUAUAUUUGCCUUUAUCUGGCAAUAGAAAAUAAUUGAAAAUUGUCAAAUAUUGUAGGGGAUAUCUCGUUUAAAAUAUACAAUUUUUUUAUAUUCUUUGGAACUACAUUUGGCAUUUGCUGGUCUGUCGACGAUAUAAUAUAACCAAAUUGCUGCUACUCUAUUUCACAGGUUAACAUAUUUACGUGUGUACCCUGUAUUUAACUAUUGUAUAUUGUAGAAAGUG